rnacentral:rRNA from 1 species
GAUGAACGCUGGCGGCGUGCUUAACACAUGCAAGUCGAACGAUCGCAAGAUAGUGGCGCACGGGUGAGGAACACGUAGCUAACCUGCCUUUGGGUCUGGGAUAACGUCGCGAAAGUGACGCUAAGACCGGAUAAGCUCCCGGGUUGUAGAGACCAGAGAGAAAAGGGGCAAGACGCCCGAAGAGGGGGCUGCGGCGCAUCAGCUAGUUGGUGGGGUAAAGGCCUACCAAGGCAACGACGCGUAAGGGGUCUGAGAGGAUGAUCCCUCACACUGGGACUGAGACACGGCCCAGACUCCUACGGGAGGCAGCAGUGAGGAAUAUUGCACAAUGGGGGGAACCCUGAUGCAGCGACGCCGCGUGGGUGAUGACGGCCUUCGGGUUGUAAAGCCCUUUUGCCACUGACGAGAACGGACGGUAGGUGGCGAAUAAGCCUCGGCUAACUACGUG